rnacentral:rRNA from 1 species
UCAGUCGACUCCUACGGGGAGGCAGCAGUGGGGAAUAUUGCACAAUGGGGGAAACCCUGAUGCAGCCAUGCCGCGUGUGUGAAGAAGGCCUUCGGGUUGUAAAGCACUUUCAGUAGGGAGGAAGGUAGUGUAGUUAACACCUGCACUAUUUGACGUUGCCUACAGAAGAAGCACCGGCUAACUCCGUGCCAGCAGCCGCGGUAAUACGGAGGGUGCGAGCGUUAAUCGGAAUUACUGGGCGUAAAGCGCAUGCAGGCGGCCUGUUAAGUCAGAUGUGAAAGCCCGGGGCUUAACCUCGGAAUUGCAUUUGAAACUGGCAGGCUAGAGUCUUGUAGAGGGGGGUAGGAAUUUCAGGUGUAGCGGUGAAAUGCGUAGAGAUCUGAAGGAAUACCAGUGGCGAAGGCGGCCCCCUGGACAAAGACUGACGCUCAGAUGCGAAAGCGUGGGGAGCAAACAGGAUUAGAUACCCUGGUAG